CCCUGUACCGGCCCGCACCGGAUCAGUGCUCGACGAUCAGCGUCGGCGGCAGCGUUCCGGCUCAUUCGCUGUAGGAGAGACUUCGAGAAAGGACAUCGGGAUAGCAGGGCCGCCGCCACCACACCGCAACGAUGGGCAAGGGAGGACCAAAGAAGGGAGCCGCCGCGGCACCCGCCGCUCCGGCUACCAAGAGCGAAGCGAAGAAGGGUGAGAAGGCGCCCAAGGAGGCCAAAGGUGGAAAGAAAGGUGGCAAGAAGUGACGGCGGCGAGUCGUGAUGCCACGGCGUCCACAUCUGCUGGCUUCACUGGGCGACGCGCUCCUGGCUUCGCUGCCGAUCGUGGUCGAGACGCAUCAUAAAGCGCCCGUGAGCUCGGUCCGAGCCGGUCGAAGACAGAGCUGUUCGCCCUAUUUCGUUGUGUUCAAGGCUGUGUGACAGUUUGCUGUUCCUCUAUCGUACCUGUCUGGCACAAGAGGCACUGCCGAGUGCCAGUUGGGGCACGCGGGCGUCUAUCGUAGAACGAAGCAAACGCGAUGUACUGUGGUCACGCUCACAGUCGAACGGCCGUUGUGCGCUCAUCGCCGAGGCUACUGAGCUUGUGUGUAGUGCUUCUUACAGGCAAGAUGGCCUACCUUGAUUGUCCAGUGUUCAGUGUCACCAAAUAAAUGAGGAGUUGGUACUUGAA
rnacentral:lncRNA from 1 species